rnacentral:rRNA from 1 species
UAUCUCUGUAGAGUCUGCAUAUCAAUAAGCGGAGGAAAAGAAACUAACUAGGAUUCCCUCAGUAACGGCGAGUGAAGCGGGAAGAGCUCAAAUUUGAAAUCUUCAAGGUUCUACCUUGACGAAUUGUAGUUUAAAGAAGUGUUUUCUGUUGGAGUUUUGGUAAAAGUUCUUUGGAAUAGGACAUCAUAGAGGGUGAGAAUCCCGUAUUUGACCAUUAUUUCCAGCUUUGUGAUACACUUUCAAAGAGUCGGAUUGUUUGGGAAUGCAGUCCAAAAUGGGUGGUAAAUUUCAUCUAAAGCUAAAUACUGGCGGAGAGACCGAUAGCGAACAAGUACCGUGAGGGAAAGAUGAAAAGAACUUUGAAAAGAGAGUUAAACAGUACGUGAAAUUGUCAAAAGGGAAGCGUUUGACACCAGUGUUGUUUUCUCGAAAAUCAAUUAAAGAAGCUGUAUGUUAGUUGUAUUAGACUUUAUCAGCUAUUCUGCCUCUUAGUUCUUGAGCUUUUCUUUAAUGCACUUUUCAGUUAACAAGUCAACAUCAAUUUCUUUUGUUGUAAAAAGGCCAUUGAGGAAGGUGGCUUGCGAUUCGUAUAAGUGUUUAUAGCCUCUUGCCUCUGCAGUCGGAGAGAUUGAGGUCUGCAGCGUAGAUCCUUCGGGGUUAGAUACAGUUAGAUGCUAAGUUAUAGCCUUUUCAUAGACAACUUGUUGACUAUGAUCAGUCAUGUAGCUUACUUGCUUAUGCUAUUUUACCUACGCUUAGGAUGUUGACGAUCAGCUGAGCGCG